rnacentral:rRNA from 1 species
AGAGUUUGAUCCUGGCUCAGGAUGAACGCUGGCGGCGUGCCUAAUACAUGCAAGUCGAGCGAACAGACGAGGAGCUUGCUCCUUUGACGUUAGCGGCGGACGGGUGAGUAACACGUGGAUAACCUACCUAUAAGACUGGGAUAACUUCGGGAAACCGGAGCUAAUACCGGAUAAUAUAUUGAACCGCAUGGUUCAAUAGUGAAAGACGGUUUUGCUGUCACUUAUAGAUGGAUCCGCGCCGCAUUAGCUAGUUGGUAAGGUAACGGCUUACCAAGGCAACGAUGCGUAGCCGACCUGAGAGGGUGAUCGGCCACACUGGAACUGAGACACGGUCCAGACUCCUACGGGAGGCAGCAGUGGGGAAUAUUGGACAAUGGGCGAAAGCCUGAUCCAGCCAUGCCGCGUGUGUGAAGAAGGCCUUUUGGUUGUAAAGCACUUUAAGCGAGGAGGAGGCUACCUGGAUUAAUACUCUAGGAUAGUGGACGUUACUCGCAGAAUAAGCACCGGCUAACUCUGUGCCAGCAGCCGCGGUAAUACAGAGGGUGCGAGCGUUAAUCGGAUUUACUGGGCGUAAAGCGUGCGUAGGCGGCUGAUUAAGUCGGAUGUGAAAUCCCUGAGCUUAACUUAGGAAUUGCAUUCGAUACUGGUCAGCUAGAGUAUGGGAGAGGAUGGUAGAAUUCCAGGUGUAGCGGUGAAAUGCGUAGAGAUCUGGAGGAAUACCGAUGGCGAAGGCAGCCAUCUGGCCUAAUACUGACGCUGAGGUACGAAAGCAUGGGGAGCAAACAGGAUUAGAUACCCUGGUAGUCCAUGCCGUAAACGAUGUCUACUAGCCGUUGGGGCCUUUGAGGCUUUAGUGGCGCAGCUAACGCGAUAAGUAGACCGCCUGGGGAGUACGGUCGCAAGACUAAAACUCAAAUGAAUUGACGGGGGCCCGCACAAGCGGUGGAGCAUGUGGUUUAAUUCGAUGCAACGCGAAGAACCUUACCUGGCCUUGACAUAGUAGAAACUUUCCAGAGAUGGAUUGGUGCCUUCGGGAAUCUACAUACAGGUGCUGCAUGGCUGUCGUCAGCUCGUGUCGUGAGAUGUUGGGUCUGUCUCUUAUACACAUCUGACGCUGCCGACGAAGGCUUAGGUGUAGAU